GGUGUGGCUCAGUGGUAGAGUGUUUGCCUGCAAUGCACGAGGUCUUGGGUUCAAUCCCUUAGCACCA
rnacentral:tRNA from 1 species